GGAAUAUUGGACAAUGGGCGCAAGCCUGAUCCAGCCAUGCCGCGUGAGUGAUGAAGGCCCUAGGGUUGUAAAGCUCUUUCACCGGUGAAGAUAAUGACGGUAACCGGAGAAGAAGCCCCGGCUAACUUCGUGCCAGCAGCCGCGGUAAUACGAAGGGGGCUAGCGUUGUUCGGAAUUACUGGGCCUAAAGCGCACGAAGGCGGAUUGCUAAGUGAGGGGUGAAAUCCCAGGGCUCAACCCUGGAACUGCCUUUCAUACUGGCAAUCUAGAGUCCAGAAGAGGUGAGUGGAAUUCCGAGUGUAGAGGUGAAAUUCGCAGAUAUUCGGAGGAACACCAGUGGCGAAGGCGGCUCACUGGUCUGGUACUGACGCUGAGGUGCGAAAGCGUGGGGAGCAAAC
rnacentral:rRNA from 1 species